rnacentral:rRNA from 1 species
UUGUGGUUUAAUUCGAUGCAACGCGAAGAACCUUACCUGGUCUUGACAUCCCGGAGACCCUUAGGAAACUAGGGGGUGCUUCCAUCUGGAAGAAUCUGGAGACAGGUGCUGCAUGGCUGUCGUCAGCUCGUGUCGUGAGAUGUUGGGUUAAGUCCCGCAACGAGCGCAACCCUUGCCUUUAGUUGCCAGCAGUUCGGCUGGGCACUCUAAAGGGACUGCCGGUGUUAAACCGGAGGAAGGUGGGGAUGACGUCAAGUCCUCAUGGCCUUUAUGACCAGGGCUACACACGUACUACAAUGGCCGAUACAAAGGGCAGCGACACUGCGAGGUGAAGCCAAUCCCGUAAAAUCGGUCUCAGUCCGGAUUGGAGUCUGCAACUCGACUCCAUGAAGUUGGAAUCGCUAGUAAUCGUGGAUCAGCAUGCCACGGUGAAUACGUUCCCGGGCCUU